CCUAAGAGAUACGUGUUAUGUGAAGUGCUCACACAGAUUGUCUGAUGAAGAACGAGCAAAAGCGCGUCUGCGAAGCUGACAGAAGUCCCCUUCGUCUAGAGACCUAGGACACCGCCCUUUCACGGCGGUAACAGGGGUUCGAAUCCCCUAGGGGACGCCAAUGCGCGGUAUGAGUGAAAGGCGUACCACUUAUCUGACGAGAGUCAGAGAAUAACUAAGCUAAUUCAAACGAGUUAUCUUACUUAUUAUGCUCUUUAACAAUCUGGAACAAGCUGAAAAAUUGAAAACAAAUCAAUAUAUCAACGAGGUAUAUUGGUGAGUCUCUCAAAAUCUCAAACCUUAAAGGUUGUCACGCAAAGUUUAUCUUUGAAAGAGACACUUUCGGGUUGUGA
rnacentral:misc_RNA from 1 species